rnacentral:rRNA from 1 species
UAGGCAUGCAAGUCGUGCGAGAAGCUUUUUUUGCUUGCAUUAAAAGUGGACAGCGGCGAAAGGGAGAGUAACGCGUGGAUAUCUACCCCUAGACCCGGGAUAGCUGCGGGAAACUGCAGGUAAUACCG